CAAGAGAUCUGCCUGCUACGUGAUGGAGGCAGGAGGUUGGAGACUUGGAGUUAUGGGGCCAGAAGGACGCACAUUUCCAUGACUCGGAUAGGCGUUGCCAGAGCGCCCUUCUGAGAGGUCGAACCUGACGCCACCCCCCCAACAGCGCGGAGUCAGCGUUUCUCUCUCCCCGCUGACGUCUGCAGGUGGAGAUCCACAGGCUCGGAACUCUCUCCAGCUGCUGGUCCUGCAACCAUAUCCCCGAAGGCCCCAGGACUCCAGUUCCUCUUCUCCCAAUCCCCACCCCAAAGUACCCGAGAGAACCAGUCACCAGGCAGAUCCAGGGUCCCAAUGCCACCUGGCGUGGCCACCAGCAGACUCCAACCCCGCUCCCCUUCCACGUGGGCGCCUGAAUACCUCUUCUCGAGGCCCGCAGCCCCCACCUCUUGACGGGACAGCGAGCUUCUGAGUUAUCGGCAGCCUUAUUUCCCUCUACAGCUCCUACAGAGUUAACAGAUGUACGCACGUCUGAGGCAGUCAUGCGGCUGCCUUUGCCCUGGUGUACCGGGAGCUGGCCUGCGUCUCACCCUUCCUCGGAGAGGUCACUUGAAGCAGGGUCCUCCUGGGUUUAUGGUCCCCUCUUCUCCUCCUCAAGGCUUCCCUGGUAGUUCAGUGGUAAAGAAGCUGCCUGUCAAGGCAGGAGACACAGGUUCGAUCCCUGGAUCGGGAAGAUCCCCUGGAGGAGGAAAUGGCAACCCACUCCAGUAUUCUCACCUGGGAAAUCCCUUGAACAGAAGAGCCUGGCAGGCUACAGUCCAUGAGGUCCUAAGAGUCAGAUGUGACUUAGUGGCUCAACAACUUCUCCUCCUCCUCUGCCCAAGUUGUCACACUCUCUGUCCCAAGAGGAAACUCUCACGGGAAUCUGAAGACCAGUCUUCUUGUCUAGCUCUGCUACUGCCCACAGGGAGUCCACGGGCAGCGACCCCUUAAAGCUCUCGCUGGCCUGUGACCAGGUCACCUUCCCUUUCACUUUGGCCCUGGUGCUCCUGGAGCCACGUCCCCCUGGCUGACCCGGCCCCGCGAGGGGGGACCCUGUCUCCCGCAGCCUCAGGACAUCUAAGCAAACCAGACAUGCUGCUCAGUUGGUUCUCUGUGCAUCAUCUGGGCCUGAGCUAUUGAAAGUGCUUUGAAAAAGGAUAAACCCUUGAUUCAACAACAGCUACAUUUUCUUUUUUUUGAGCUACAGCCAUGUGCCACGCCCAUGUAGGCCCAUGGGCAUAUUUCCUGAACUCUUGGAAGCUGGUAUCAUUAUUCCCAAAGAUUAAAGUAGGCAAUGGAGGCUCAGAGUGGUUGCAGGAUUUUCUCAAAGUGCCUCAGCUAGGAAGUGGCAGAGCUGGAACUUGAAUUCAAAUAGUAACAAUCAACUAUAAUAAUAGCAGCUAACAUGUGACAGGGGCACCCUGAGCCUUUUAAACAUUGCCUCAUUAAUCUCUCCCAGUGGCCCUGUGGGGUAGAUAUGCUUCACAUUCCCAUUUUACAGACAAAGAAGUAAGUCUCAGGAAGAUGGAACGACUGGCCUGAAGUCAUGACGCUAGGAAGUGACAGAGCUGGUCUUGAACCCCGGUCUGCCUGAAGCCAAUGCCUGCGCUGAGCAUUUGACUGUUGCUCUCACCCCUGUGCUCCUUGUCACACCUCUGUGGCUCCACAUCGCUGGCAGCGAGGCUGAUGAAGCAGGCAGCCCCAUGCAUGGAUUCGCUCCUGCAGCGGGUGCUAUACUGGAGAGCUAAGAGCAAGGGUUCUUCACUGGGGCUUCCACAGAGCUCUUCAGGUUGUACACAGACUGUGAACACCUGUGUGUCUGUGUCUAUCCAGGGAGAAGGUGCACAGAGCCUUCAUCCCAAGUCUCUGAAUCUGGGGACUUCCCGGGUGGUCCAGUGGUUAAGACUCGUCGCUCCCCAAUGCGGGGGACCCAGGUUCAAUCCCUGCUCAGGGAACUAGAUCUCACAUGCCACAGUGAAGAUCAGAGAUCCUGUGUGCUGCCACUGAGACCCAGCGCAGCCAAAUAAAUAAAUGUUUAAAAGAAACUUCCGAAUCUGUGGAUGGGUAAACACCAGGACACCCCCCAAAGUUCCUGGGUCCCCCCCCAACCAGCACGUCUCCUGCUUCAGCUCGCAUCCAAGCACUGUCUCCCAUGAUGGACUCCCAGAGAAGAAAAGCGACAGGUCAAGGCAAAUGAACCCCGCACCCCAGCUGGGCUGCAAAGGAGGCCUCGGUCCCCUCUGUAAGCAAGAUCAGACCGGCCUGAAGGGAGGGAUGAGGCACAAAGCCUCCCAGGCACUGAUUUAUGUAGCGUUCAUGUGGAAUUUAUUACACAAAGGAUUUUAUUCAAUUAAACUUGAAAUGCGUCUGGGUUCUUAAAGGUUCAGUAGUGAUAACUGGGACAGAGGGAUCAUAAAACUGGAUGGGUUGUCGGAGAAAGGUGUCAGGGCGGGGUAGGGAGG
ensembl:lncRNA